CGCUAGCGGCAGGCCUAAUACAUGCAAGUUGAACGGGAUUCAGGGAAAGUAGCAAUACAGGAACUGAUGAGAGUAGCGCACGGGUGCGUAACACGUAUGCAACCUACCUUUAACCGGGACAUAACCACGAGAAAUUGUAGCUAAUAUUCCAUGUGAUUACCUAUUGGCAUCAGGAGGUAAUUAAAAUUCAGAUGGUUAAAGAUGGGCAUGCGUCCCAUUAGCUAGUUGGUGAGGUAACGGCUCACCAAGGCCACGAUGGGUAGGGGUUCUGAGAGGAUGAUCCCCCACACUGGUACUGAGACACGGACCAGACUCCUACGGGAGGCAGCAGUAAGGAAUAUUGGUCAAUGGACGCAAGUCUGAACCAGCCAUGCCGCGUGCAGGAAGACGGCCCUAUGGGUUGUAAACUGCUUUUGUACGGGAAGAACUACAUUUACGUGUAAAUGUUUGACGGUACCGUAAGAAUAAGGAUCGGCUAACUCCGUGCCAGCAGCCGCGGUAAUACGGAGGAUCCGAGCGUUAUCCGGAUUUAUUGGGUUUAAAGGGUGCGCAGGCGGGUAUGUAAGUCAGAGGUGAAAUUUCACGGCUCAACCGUGGAACUGCCUUUGAUACUGUAUAUCUAGAGUAUAUUUGGAGUGGGCGGAAUGUAGCAUGUAGCGGUGAAAUGCUUAGAUAUGCUACAGAACACCGAUCGUGAAGACAGCUCACUAAACUAUAACUGACGCUCACGCACGAAAGCGUGGGGAGCAAACAGGAUUAGAUACCCUGGUAGUCCACGCCGUAAACGAUGAUUACUCGCUGUUGGCGAUACACAGUCAGCGGCUAAGCG
rnacentral:rRNA from 1 species